AGGAAUUCAUCGCCAUUUUGUGCUUUAUGGGUUAACACAACAUAUGCAAAGAAGUUUCAAUAAGCACAUAACUCCUGAUGACGUUUUGAAGCUGUUGGAUCGCUUCUACAACUUGGAAAUGCUGGAGCCAGAUGAUGAUGAGGAAGACAUUCUGAAUAAGGAGGAAGAAUUUUCCCUACCUCCAAGUUUUUUCGGCAAGAAUCCAUGAAUAUGACUCUUAAAUGACAGAUAGAUCAAAGACCAUAUAUGCAGUGAUCGAUGAUGAUAUAGUAACAUAUAUCAAGUUACUCAUUUUGUGUUCUGGAAUGUCAUCAUCAUAAUAUAUACUGCUCAUAUAUAGAUAGUGAAAUACAGAUUUGCAGACAUAUUUUGAUAUUAUAUUAUUAGUGAAGAA